ACCAUCGAUUGGUGUUACAUUUGGCUAUAAUGGACGUUUGGAGAGUUUUAUGGAACCUCUCUAAAAUGCCAUUGCUCUGAGGAUGAAAAGAUGAAGUAUGGAUCUAUUUUUAAUGCCGAAUCUGGAAAAGAAAAGCUUCUGGUCAACGUGUAAAGCUGUGGUACUUUUUUUUUUUGUACGCUGGCCACAUAAGAUGGAACACAAUUGAAUAAUGUAAUUUUCGUUUGCAGAAACUGAAACUACACAUGCAUCUUCUAUUGGCACCACAGCAUUGGCUCCUUUUGGAAGGCAACAUCCCAUACUAACACGUAUAGCUUCGUUAGAUUGAAGAACAAAAUCCGAUUGCUUAAAGACCGUUUACAAUGAACAAAAAAAUAUACCUCAAAAUUUAUAAUUACAUCGUCAUGUUGAGUAAAAUAAUUUCGUUUUAAUAUACGUUCAGCACCAUCUUCAGCUACCACUGCGUAACCGUCCACUUUGGAUAUUUUCAAAGAAACUGGCAAUAUUUUGAGUUCAUCAUCGGGUGCUAAAACUCGAUUAAGAGAAUUUUCGAUUUCAAUUUCUUCCACCUCGCCAACGUAUUUUGUGGCAUCACAUACUAUAGAUAAAGCACGCUCAAAGCUGUGCUUUUUAAACGAAUAGCAACGUUUAUUUCGGUAUGGUGAUGUUGUAACAUUAAAAUAAGAUGACUUAAAAUUUGCUUCGUCUUCCAACGAGUCUUCCUUUUCGUCUAGUGCAGAAGUAUCAUCAUCUUUUUUAGGCUUACGGAUUGAGUCUAUUGUAGGCGGUAUGAUAGAUUUGAUAAGCCCAAAACAUUCUAACGCGCUUGUUAAGUUUCCGGGUAAAUUUAUCAUCAAAGAAUUACCUUUAACGCCACAACGGCGCGUGCUAACGUUCCUAUAUCAUUGGCUUGUAAAUUAGUACCACCCGCCGUCAAAAUAAGAUUGAUAUCGUGCUUGCAAAGAAUUUCUAGCGAAACAACAAUUUCAUCUGGAACAUCGGGAACUACAGUACAUGAAUAUAUAUGAAUAUAUUUUUUAUAGCUUCCGCUAAUGCUGGUCCACAUUUGUCUACGGCGGUUUUAUUGAAACAUGCAUCGCUCACUAAAAAUAAAAUUAGUUAAAUUUAAUAAUAACAAAAUUUUUAAUACUAUGUUAUGAACCGAUAAGUACUGCACAUGUAAAUUUCAUUGUGUUUAGGAUAAUGAAAUAGCUCCCACACAGCUGGUUUUAAAGAGAGGAAAAAUCAACUCGUCCACGCGUUCAUACCCAAAAGUUAUCAAAAAAACUCACCUUCAAUACGCGCGAUAAUAAAAUUUCAAAAUCUACUCCCUCCCUCUAUAAUUUAAAAGAAGAAAUUAAAAAUGUUAAUAAAAAGGAUAAUGAAAUAAGAAAGUUUAGGAAUUGUAGGAUUUCGUGUUUCCAAAUUCGGUUUGUUGUAAACAAAAAAAACAAAACUAUUAAUAAACUAUCAAAAUAAAAAAAAA